ensembl:lncRNA
CUCGGAUUGCAACAGAUCAGCAGGGUCCCCAAGGGGAGGACUGAGGCCUUGCUGGGCUCAUUCAUUCGUUUGCUUAGUAUGUGUGUGGUGAGCACACCCUCUAGUCCAGGCCGUGGAGGGACCAAAAGGAUGGGACGCAGCCCUGCCCUCCGAGUUCACACAGGAGCAGGGGACACAGCUCUGCCCUCCGAGUUCACACAGGAGCAGGGGACACAGCCAGGCAGGGAUGGCGUGCAGCGUGGUGAGUGGAGUGGCUGCAGGACCACUGGAAACCUACCCGAGGGGACUUUCAACUUGGCCAGUCUGUUGAGAAAGGGAAGAAAUGGGAGAAGGCCCCACCUCCAGAGCCACCGACCCCAGAAAAGAGGUCAAAGAACAGAAGCCGCAGUUGGAGGGGGCAAGCUUAGCUGAGAGGGGAGGUCGGCCAUCAGCUGCAUCAGAAGAGAAAACCACGGCUAAUCUGGAAAAGCCAGCCUGCAAGGGAGUGACCGCAUCUCCCAGCAUCCUCUGGGGCAGUGCCUGAGAUGACCUCCCAACCCCCACCUGUGAGCUUCUGAGGCUCCUGUCUUCUUAGGGGCAGAGGCAAGGAAAAUCCUGCUAUAGCUCCCUCCCUCCCGCCUAGACUUUUGGCUGCCUUCUGAAACUGGACAAUACAGGGAAAUGUUUGCACCCAAACAACUCCGCUGCUUCAGGAACUGCCUGACCCUGCCCAGGAAAGCGAAAUUCUCCAGCUCCACCCUGCGGCCCCCUUGGUCUGGGGAUCAGAAACCAGCAGAGAGGUUAUUACCAGAGCAAAGGGGGUCACGGGCAUCCCCAAGGUGGCCAGAGGAGAGUUCAGGGGUCACCUCCCUCUAAGGACUGGAGUUUUUUCCUUCCUGCCCAAAUCAGAAAGGGAGCUCUGGGGUGGGAUGGGGGCGGCGGGUGGGAGAGAGGCUGGAGGGGACAGGGGUAUAUGCAUACAUAUAGCUGAUUCACAUGGUUGUCCAGCAGAAACUUACACAACCUUGUAAGUAUACUCUAAUAAAAAGAAAAUAGAAAAAAAUAAAGUCAAAUAAAGAACAGAAAAAAAGAAAGGGACCUCUGUCCCCGACUGCAGGAUACACAAAAGCCAGAUUGUCAAUAUUUAUCUGGACAGCCCAGGCUCUGGAUUAAUCUGGCCUAAAGAUAAUACAAAUAGCACUUUGAUGUGACUUGAGAAAUGUAUUAAUUCAUUCAACAAGCAUGUGCUUAUUGGGUUCUGGGCCAAGCCCCAGGCUGGGCACUGGGGAUCUGGGGUAGAUCACCCCCGACUCUGCCCUGGAGAGGCCCACCGUCUAGGAAGAGAGAGAGAGGGUGAGGGCCCCCGGAAUGCAGUAAGAUGGCAGGUGGGGGCCUGCU